AUGAAAGGCUUUCGAGUAAAGACGCCUCUUUUGUGGAGGCCGGGGAUUGAUGACCACACUCUUCAUAACCUCUUAUCUUCUCUCAUGAGCUCAUUUUUUUUUAUUAUUUUCUUCAAAUUUUCUCUUUUUUUUUUUCUUUUUCAUAUUAAUCACAUAUAAAUACAAGCUUUAUCACGGUUUCUACUUGGUUAUAGUGGUGGAUCUGCUAAAAGAACCGGCCAUGUAGAUCUUCCCUAUCAACAAAAAGGAGGGAGAGAGUGUGAGAGAGAGAAUAAGACAAAGAGAGAAGAAGGGACAGGGGGAGGGAGACGAAGAGGAGGAGAAAGAGAAAAAAUGGAUUUUGAUGAUCACGAAGACCAAGAAGAAGACAUGGGCUUGGCGGUGCCUGCAGGUUUUGACACGAUUAGCAACUCAUCUCGGCCAAAAAUGGGCCCAGCCGGUGGAGAAGGUGCGUUGACGACUGCAGCAACCGCGGCAACAACAAACAUGAGGAAAUCCGGAAGCUCGGUUAGAUAUAGAGAGUGCUUGAAAAACCACGCGGUGAACAUCGGUGGACAUGCGGUGGAUGGGUGCGGGGAAUUCAUGGCGGCAGGCGAAGAGGGUUCCUUGGAUGCACUCAAAUGCGCUGCGUGUAACUGCCACCGAAAUUUCCACCGCAAGGAGAUUGAUGGAGGUGAAGGAAUAUAUCAUCACCAGCAGCAUCAUCCCCAAUUCUCUCCUUUCUAUCGUGCUCCGCCACCUGCUGGAUACCUACACUUUACGCCGCCCCCACAGCAUAGGCGUUUAGCUCUACCGGCAGCAUCUGGAGGGGGAGCCGGAGGUGCUAUUAUUGGUAGUGGGUACAGCAGGGAGGAAGAGGAUGUGUCUAAUCCAAGUAGUAGUGGUGGGGGCGGCGGAGGUGGUGGUGCUGCUAGUGGAAGUUCAAAGAAGAGGUUUAGGACUAAGUUUACGCAGGAGCAGAAGGACAAGAUGUUGGAUUUCUCAGAGAGGCUUGGAUGGAGUAUCCAAAAGCACGAUGAGGCAGCGGUGGAGCAGUUUUGUGCAGAGAAUGGAGUGAAAAGGCAUGUGCUCAAGGUUUGGAUGCACAAUAACAAGCAUACUCUUGGUAAGAAGACCUAAUUCUUUGUAAACUGAGGGAAAAAAGAGAGAGAGAGAGAGAAAACAACAAUAUGAACCAAACCAUUUGCAGCAAUCACACCGACACUAAGCUGCAUAGUGCCAAGUGUCAAGGAGAUAACGAGGAAGGAAGCUAGAGAGCAUAUGACCUAGCAGCGAUCAGUGCAAUUGAUAUAUUUUCUGAGGAAAAUGGGAAAGUUGAAAGUCUGUGAUGUCAAAUUGGAUGGAUGGUGAUGAAGAUGAGGACCCUGUAAUUUCUUGAAUACGUUGUUGCUGAUGGGCCAUUUGUUCCUGAAAUCAGCAUCUCCUAAUUCAAGUUUCUUUCUUGUUAAUUUAAGCCUCUCUCAUAGAGAAAAACCUAGUUUAGUUAAAUUCUACUUUGGAAAAAAAAAAAAAAUGAGCCCUGCAAGAGUCUGCAACAACUCCCACCUGGCUUGUAUAUUAUUCAUUUGAAGUCAAUUGUCCUUAGAAGCAAGAAAGCCAAUAGCAAAACUGAAGUUGUGAGAUGAUGAAAACAUCAUCAGGAUCGAGAGAGAAUUGAAUCCCUAGUUUGAAUCAAACGUGUAUAACAUGCAACGCUGCAUUUUUUUCGUGUCUCCUCACAACUGUCAACUUCUCCUUCUUUCUCUCCAUCUCACCGCUCCUUUUCCUUUUCGCAUUAAUAUCUCUCAACAUCCGUUUACAAUUAAGAGUGGGUUCUACACACUUCUCUUCCAAGUGAAUAAAGCUCAAAACCACCGAAAAGGGGAUGCCGACAAAUGUUUGCUUAAGAAAGAGGCGGACCUGUGGAUCGCAUGCACUCUCCUUAUCAAUACAUUUCUCCUCAACCUCGUCCUCCAUUAUAAAUUCUUCUUCAUCUUCUCUCUCAUUUUUUUUUAAUCUAUUAUUUGGGGUCGUCGUCUUCAUCGUCUUCUUCUUCUCCUUGCUGCUCCUUUGAUAUGUUUAAUUAGAAAGAAAUAAUAUUUGCGACUUCCUAUGGCUGUGACUUAUGUACUAGUAGUGGUCAAGCAAAAAACAAAGUUUCUGAAGUGGUUAUUAACGUAGCAAUACUAGUGUAGCACAGACUUUGCCAGUUUCGUUGCAGUCUUGCAGAUUUUACAGACCUUGUGAUUGUCAUUUACUCAUGGCACAU